rnacentral:rRNA from 1 species
CUGAGAAACCCAAAAGAUCGAAUGGGGAGAUCAUCGUCAACUCAUUUUGUAUAUGUAUUAGUUAUGAUGUGGGUUACUCUUGUARUAUUGCUUACACAUACUUUUACAUUUAUUUGCAGAAUGUUGUCGGCGUGCACUUCUCCCCUAGUAGGACAUCGCGACCCGUUGGGUGUCGGUCUACGACCCAAGUUGUAGUCUAUAAUAUUUUAAUAUAUUAAAGACACUUGGUGUUUUCUGACCGGCUGCCCGGCGGUACUCGUACGGUAUUAAGCCGCAAUUAUAUGCGUCCAUAUCCAUCGCAAGCGAGGCUAGUUUCUGGUAGUACGGACCUAGUGCCGUCGCUGGAGCUUGCCAGCUGUUGGUAGUUAUGGUAUUCUAGGACUGGCUAAAAAAUAAUUACCGGUCGGCGAUGCUA